UCGCACGAGAAAGGGUAGCAAUACCUGAGUACAGUGGCGCACGGGUGAGUAACACGUGAAUAAUCUACCUCCGAGUGGGGAAUAACUUAGGGAAACCUGAGCUAAUACCGCAUAACACUUACGAGUCAAAGCAGCAAUGCGCUUGGAGAGGAGUUCGCGGCAGAUUAGCUAGUUGGCGGGGUAAUGGCCCACCAAGGCGAUGAUCUGUAUCCGGCCUGAGAGGGCGCACGGACACACUGGAACUGAAACACGGUCCAGACUCCUACGGGAGGCAGCAGUGGGGAAUUUUGCGCAAUGGGGGAAACCCUGACGCAGCAACGCCGCGUGGAGGAUGAAAUCCCUUGGGAUGUAAACUCCUUUCGAUCGGGACGAUUAUGACGGUACCCGUAGAAGAAGCCCCGGCUAACUCCGUGCCAGCAGCCGCGGUAAUACGGGGGGGGCAAGCGUUGUUCGGAAUUACUGGGCGUAAAGGGUGCGUAGGCGGUUCGUUAAGUUGGAUGUGAAAACUCUGGGCUCAACCCAGAGCCUGCAUCCAAAACUGGCGGGCUAGAGUUCUGGAGGGGGUAGCGGAAUUCCUGGUGUAGCGGUGAAAUGCGUAGAUAUCAGGAGGAACACCGGUGGCGAAGGCGGCUACCUGGACAGAAACUGACGCUGAGGCACGAAAGCUAGGGGAGCAAACAGGAUUAGAUACCCUGGUAGUCCUAGCCCUAAACGAUGGAUACUUGCUGUGACUGG
rnacentral:rRNA from 1 species